AAACAGAGACGAUCAGGUAUUUUAGAUGGGAUGGUAAACAGAGACGAUCAGGUAUUUUAGAUGGGAUGGUAAACAGAGACGAUCAGGUAUUUUAGAUGGGAUGGUAAACAGAGACAAUCAGGUAUUUUAGAUCGGACGGUAAACAGAGACGAUCAGGUAUUUUAGAUCGGACGGUAAAAUUGUCCGCUUCCAGGAAGACGUUGGAAACUUUUUUUAUAAAUUUAUAUCCUUGACAAGUUAUUUUUAUUGUUAUUGUUUUAUUUCAGGUUAAAAUUGAAGUAAACAAUACAAGUCUACAUCGACUAUUUCCGUUCUCCGUCUAUAGAUGUUGAAAGUGAUCCUUUUGGAAAGGUAUUCCAGCUUGUGAUUUGUCUGUUCCCUUUGUGUUAAAGAAAUGUUGCCAACCACUUAAAGUGCCUGUAACAUAAUUCAUGAAUAAACGAACGACCUUC